AUGGAGAUUCUGCACAGAAGAUGGGGCCUUAUGGAGAAGGCACAUAGCAGGAAAGUAUGGCUUACUUAGCUACUGAAUAGCUGAAGAAGUCAUGAGCACAUUUGGUCGUAGUGUCUGGAUCAGGAGACUUUGGCCUAACUUUAUCAACAACAUCUCCAUUGGUGUUGGUAAUGGUCUGAAAAAUGCUUUCUGAAAUGAAGUUUUGGUAGGGGAGAGCAGCUUGAG
rnacentral:misc_RNA from 1 species